AGCGAACGUUAGCGGCGCGCCUAACACAUGCAAGUCGCACGAGAAACGGAGCAAUCCGCGGUACAGUGGCGCACGGGUGAGUAACACGUGGAUGACCUUCCCUGGAGUGGUGGAUAACCUGCCGAAAGGCGGGCUAAUACAACAUAGGACCACGACGCUUUGGCGAUGUGGUGAAAGCGGGCCUCUAUAUAUAAGCUCGCGCUCCGGGACGGGUCCGCGUCCCAUCAGCUAGUUGGUGAGGUAACGGCUCACCAAGGCAACGACGGGUAGCUGGUCUGAGAGGAUGGCCAGCCACACUGGAACUGAGACACGGUCCAGACUCCUACGGGAGGCAGCAGUGGGGAAUCUUGCGCAAUGGGCGAAAGCCUGACGCAGCGACGCCGCGUGGGCGAAGAAGGCC
rnacentral:rRNA from 1 species